rnacentral:sRNA from 1 species
AAACAUUUUCCCGCCAAAACU